GAUUUCUUUGUUUCUCUAUCAAUGCCCUUGUGCUUGUACUUUCUUUUCAUAUUUUGUUCAGUGUUGUUCUCAAUUGUAAUAUUUUGUCCUCAAGGUAGAUUGAUUCAUUUCAGAAACCUCAAGUAGUUCAUUUUGAUCACGGUUAUUAUUAGUAAAGCAUUUGAAGUCUAGUGGAUACUGUUUAUGGUUGUGAUCUUGGAACCAAAUUGCUUUAAGGUUUUUCAUGUUGCUCUAGUUGAAGCUUCCAAAGAGGGUGCUAAAAGUGUUAAAGUCUUCUUUGGUCAAGAAUCAUUGCAAUCCCCUAAUCUAUCAAUAGAUUUGGCUAAUGAAGAUACAUUGAAUGAGGACUUGGAAUUCGUGGCAAACUAGAAAGAUAAUGUUGUGUUGUGGUCACUGCUGUACAUAACAUAAUCUCUUCUACUCUUCUUUUCAAGUUCCAACCAAUAAGUCACUGCAUGUUUUGUAGGGGCCUACUUAUCACCCCACAUUUCUGAAAAAAAUCACACAUAUCUUUUCAGAUGUGUGUAUUAGAUAGAUAAUUAGUUUGAUAACGAUCUUUCUUUAUCAUUUCAUUAGUUUAAGGGAUGUUUGGAGUUAUUUAUUGUACAUAUAAUCAUUCAUUUGUAAUAUUUUGUUCAAUCAAUAAAUGAGAUUAUUAAAAAUUA